AGAGAGUGCAGAUAUGAAGGCGCCAACAACAGGUCUCUUUGCUGCUGGAUUGCCUUACAGACUCAAAAGGCUCAAAAGACGCCGACGAUCGACUCUGUGUGUCCCGACCCGACGCCGGAUCUUUAAAUUUGACAACCCUGGCGAAUAAUCGAAAAUACCACUUUAGCCGAGACCGCAAACUCAUAUUAUAUGGGUGGAGGCGAGAUUUUUCUACGAGAGUAAGGAAGAGUCUCAAACUUGAAGCUGAACUUGGACUUCUGGUUUUUGAGUGUCGGCCUCGGAUUUCAGUCGAAAUCUUUUGGUCAGAUGAAACAAAAUUAGAGGCGAAGUCAGCCCGCCGUGCCCAGCAGAUAUCAAGUUGUGGAAGGC